UUAAAGGGUCUGAGGAGAAAGUAUCCGUCGUCUCUUCCCUGUGCAACUGUGAGCACACUGAACCAAGCGUCGCACUUGAACCAAGUGCACAACUGAGG